rnacentral:rRNA from 1 species
UACGUAGGUGGCAAGCGUUGUCCGGAAUCAUUGGGCGUAAAGAGCGCGUAGGUGGCUUGUCAGGUCCGAUGUGAAAACCUGGGGCUCAACUCCAGGCCUGCAUCGGAAACCGGCUUGCUAGAGUCUGGGAGAGGAGAGUGGAAUUCCUGGUGUAGCGGUGAAAUGCGUAGAUAUUAGGAGGAACACCAGUAGCGAAGGCGGCUCUCUGGACUGUAACUGACGCUGAGGCACGAAAGCGUGGGGAGCAAACGGGAUUAGAUACCCCGGUA